AGAGUUUGAUCAUGGCUCAGAUUGAACGCUGGCGGCAGGCCUAACACAUGCAAGUCGAACGGUAACAGGAAGCAGCUUGCUGCUUUGCUGACGAGUGGCGGACGGGUGAGUAAUGUCUGGGAAGCUGCCUGAUGGAGGGGGAUAACUACUGGAAACGGUAGCUAAUACCGCAUAACGUCGCAAGACCAAAGAGGGGGACCUUCGGGCCUCUUGCCAUCGGAUGUGCCCAGAUGGGAUUAGCUAGUAGGUGGGGUAACGGCUCACCUAGGCGACGAUCCCUAGCUGGUCUGAGAGGAUGACCAGCCACACUGGAACUGAGACACGGUCCAGACUCCUACGGGAGGCAGCAGUGGGGAAUAUUGCACAAUGGGCGCAAGCCUGAUGCAGCCAUGCCGCGUGUAUGAAGAAGGCCUUCGGGUUGUAAAGUACUUUCAGCGGGGAGGAAGGGAGUAAAGUUAAUACCUUUGCUCAUUGACGUUACCCGCAGAAGAAGCACCGGCUAACUCCGUGCCAGCAGCCGCGGUAAUACGGAGGGUGCAAGCGUUAAUCGGAAUUACUGGGCGUAAAGCGCACGCAGGCGGUUUGUUAAGUCAGAUGUGAAAUCCCCGGGCUCAACCUGGGAACUGCAUCUGAUACUGGCAAGCUUGAGUCUCGUAGAGGGGGGUAGAAUUCCAGGUGUAGCGGUGAAAUGCGUAGAGAUCUGGAGGAAUACCGGUGGCGAAGGCGGCCCCCUGGACGAAGACUGACGCUCAGGUGCGAAAGCGUGGGGAGCAAACAGGAUUAGAUACCCUGGUAGUCCACGCCGUAAACGAUGUCGACUUGGAGGUUGUGCCCUUGAGGCGUGGCUUCCGGAGCUAACGCGUUAAGUCGACCGCCUGGGGAGUACGGCCGCAAGGUUAAAACUCAAAUGAAUUGACGGGGGCCCGCACAAGCGGUGGAGCAUGUGGUUUAAUUCGAUGCAACGCGAAGAACCUUACCUGGUCUUGACAUCCACGGAAGUUUUCAGAGAUGAGAAUGUGCCUUCGGGAACCGUGAGACAGGUGCUGCAUGGCUGUCGUCAGCUCGUGUUGUGAAAUGUUGGGUUAAGUCCCGCAACGAGCGCAACCCUUAUCCUUUGUUGCCAGCGGUCCGGCCGGGAACUCAAAGGAGACUGCCAGUGAUAAACUGGAGGAAGGUGGGGAUGACGUCAAGUCAUCAUGGCCCUUACGACCAGGGCUACACACGUGCUACAAUGGCGCAUACAAAGAGAAGCGACCUCGCGAGAGCAAGCGGACCUCAUAAAGUGCGUCGUAGUCCGGAUUGGAGUCUGCAACUCGACUCCAUGAAGUCGGAAUCGCUAGUAAUCGUGGAUCAGAAUGCCACGGUGAAUACGUUCCCGGGCCUUGUACACACCGCCCGUCACACCAUGGGAGUGGGUUGCAAAAGAAGUAGGUAGCUUAACCUUCGGGAGGGCGCUUACCACUUUGUGAUUCAUGACUGGGGUGAAGUCGUAACAAGGUAACCGUAGGGGAACCUGCGGUUGGAUCACCU
rnacentral:rRNA from 2 species